rnacentral:lncRNA from 1 species
GUUUUAGGGGAAGUAGAAAGAGCCCAAGGUGAGAGUGUUCGGGGAACUUUAGGACCAAUAAGGCCAGUGUGACUGCAGAGGAAGGAGCACCAGGAAUGGCAGUAGGUGACGCCUUCAAAGAGGCAAAGGAAGCCCUUUCUGUGAAGUUUACGGCCCAGGGCAUUGUGCUUGACUCUGGGACUAUGGAGAUGAAUAGCUUAGAGUGUUUGACCCCACAUUAGCUCAGAAGACAGAUGUGACCCAAACUAACCAUACUGCGAUGAGAAACCUCACACAACUCAAGAAUAAACCUCUAAGUCUGAAACGUGCCUGAACUGGCCUCUGUUUGGGAGGAAUGCUCAAUAGGUCAUCCAUGAAACCCAGUCCACUUAGGAUUAUAAAAAAUGUUUACUGAUUGAUUGAGAUGAUAAAAUCUUUUAUUAUUUUCCCCUUAAGCAGCAACUAACUUAGCCACUUACUGGAAACUAUAACUUGACUUCUCUUAAACAGUGUAUAACUCCAAGUGCAUACCUUGGUGCAAAAUUAAAACCACUACUAUAUUGUAUUUCCAGAGGGGCUUGUCUAGGAAACAUUCAGUUCAGAGGCAGAGAACAGUCAAAUGCAGUGCCUUAGCAUCUAGGAAGGACAGAGUUACUUUAUUUUCUCUGGCGGCAUACAUCCUCCCCCCGCCCCUGCCCAGCCCCCAAUGCACCUAUAUUAAAGAUGGAAGUCCCGGCUAUAAGGAGAGCAGAAAAAGGAGAGAAGAGCAGAAAGCAGGAGGACAAUAGCAACAAUGAAAUCUCCUAGGGACAGAGCAUAGUGACGCCAAACAUCAGAGCAAAGUAGAUGUUGUCUGUCUAUGAGCCAAAGGAGACAUUGCUAUAAUGUUAGGAUCAAGUCGAUUGUGUUAGAAUCCAUUAUUUUUUUCUGUUGUUUACUGUAUACUAAUAUUCAGUGAAAUAUUUGCUUUUACUAUAC